rnacentral:tRNA from 1 species
GGGGAUAUAGCUCAGUUGGUAGAGCAUCGCGUUUGCAACGCGAGGGUCAUCGGUUCGAGUCCGUUUAUCUCCA